rnacentral:rRNA from 1 species
UCCUACGGGAGGCAGCAGUAGGGAAUAUUGCACAAUGGACGAAAGUCUGAUGCAGCGACGCCGCGUGAGUGAUGAAGGCCUUCGGGUCGUAAAACUCUGUGAUAGGGGAAGAUGAUGACGGUACCCUAUCAGAAAGGACCGGCUAACUACGUGCCAGCAGCCGCGGUAAU